GUGACUUCCCUCUGAAGAUCUGUUAGACAUGCCCCAGUCAUCUUGGUUCCUUGGUGGCAGCUGUUCCACCUGGCUGUGUCCAGUCAGCCAUCUUGCCCUCCCUCCAGAAAUUCAAAAAAAAUUUCAGAUGAGAAAACUGAGGCACAGAGAGGUGAAAUAAGGAAUGAAAUAUUACUGGAUGAAAUAAUUAUACUGAUCCUAGCCUUAUUUUAAAAGGCAGGCCCCCAGAAUGCUCUUCUCCAAGACUUAGAAAAAUCAAAUGCUAUCCAUCCCUCAAGAUACAUCCCUCCAGCCCCUCCUUGAAGUCUCCUGCAGCUAGAAGUAGAAGUAGCAUCUAUCCCCAUCUGGACUCCUUAGCACUUUGCUGUACCUGCCUUAGUCCCCAUCUCUUUACACACACACACACACACACACACACACACACAGAGUAUUAUAAUACUAUUACCUAUUAUAUUACAUUAUAUUAUUGUAGUUCUACAGGAACUACAAGGAAUUCUACUGUGAAUUCCUUAAGGGUGGGAUACAUUUUACAAUCAUCACUGUUUCUCUCAUUAGUUGUGGAAUCAAAAAAAUGAGUGCACGAUGAAAAAUUAUUCAAACACAUACAUGCUUUCAUUCCAAUUGAAAAUGUAAAAAUAUUACUGUUAAAACAAUAUUAAAGGACAUGUAAUACAAUUCAAAUAUUCCUACCAUGCACGAUUGUUUUCACUUCUUUGUGCCUCUUUCACCAUUUAUUUGUGUGCAUACUCAGCAUAUUUGUUUGUGUAACAGGAUGUUAAAAAUAGAAUUUGUUGCCUGUAGUUUUUGCUAAAGCUCUACUAGACUGGAACAGAACAAUAGGUGGUAAAUACUCCAUUCCUCAGUGAGAUGCUACCUACCUAUGCAGAGCUGGAAAAGAUUUUGCAACCUGAAAACCCAAUCCUUUCUGAGAUAUAAAAGAACAGAAGAGUCUGGAAGUGAUUUCUUCGGAGAAAUUCAUUUUCUUAUUCCAGAGAAGAAACUUCAAGCUCAGAAUAUUGGCUACUACCUGUGAUAAACAUUUAAAUUAUUGGAACGAGAGAGUUUUUAUAACUAAAUUUGAAAGAAGCAAUUUUUUUUAUCAAAGACCAACCCGAAGAUUCAUGACCACUACCUGUGAUUUCAUCCAUGUUGCAAGGAAAAUCCUGCCCCACUUCCCCAAUAGGAAGAGUGGUGGGGGAAUAAUAAAGUUGUUUUAUGAUGCAUCCUGUGGACUUCUACUCGACAGAAUGGUAACAUUCAACUGUAAUCAGGAUGAGCAAGCCACUUUAUUAAACUAAAAUUUUAAACUUUAAUAAAUAUAAUACAAACUGAAAAAUAAAAAUAAUUUUUCAACUCUACACAAGUAUGUUAACUGCAUAAACAGUGAGAUGUUACACAGGGCUGAGGCCUAUACUUCUUCAGUUUGUACAUUAAACGUCUCCAUGGAGGGUCAAUUGCAUCCUACCUAUUCUGACAGUUAUCAGGUAGCGAGAGAUUUGAGGAAGAGGCGCUUUUCUAAUCUGGGGUAGGAAAAGGAAUGAUACCAUGUAUCAUGAGAAGUAUUUGCACAUAGUGUGUCAAUUAAGCAAGUGCUCAGACUAUUAACAACAUUACUAUGUGAUGAAUGUUUAUACAGUGGAUUCAAAAAUAAGCUUCUUUCCAGAAAGCAGCUUAGUUUUCAUUAAUUAUUACCAGCAUCUUGGUAAUUAUUUAUUUAAUGGUUUAAAAGUUAAAGUUUCAAUCUAUAUUUGUUUUUUUAACAUCAGCCAAGGAAAUACAUGUCUGUUAUACUGCAUCUUUGGAAGUAUGCAAUAAGUGUAACUAUUGAAUCUAUAUUGAAGAGCCACAAGACACUGAAUUUAAUUGGACGAGACUAUUUUAUUUAGGAAGACAAUCAUCUCCUGUGAUCAGCUUAAGGUUUUUGUUUUGUUUUAUCUGGAACAAGCUAAGUUCAUAUUUAGAAAAUAAAGUUAGUUUUUUGGGUGCAUGAGUUUUAGAGUAAAUUAGUAAUUUAGUAAACUUUGACAUUUCCACUUUGUCUCCAAACACAUUUAAAUUCUAUCUGUCUGACUGAAGUUCUAAGGCAUUCUGUGGUUACUUAGAAAUGAUUCCUUAUAUUAAUGUUUACAAAUGCUAAAUUGUAUUUGUUAAAUACAUGUCUUAUUGCCUAAGAGUUUUCCUUUCUUAUAAGUUUAAUAUAAAUGUCUAGGAAAUAAGACUCCCAUUUAAUAGCUUAUAAAGAAUGCUGAUGUAUCAGCAGUGGCCUUGACAUUAUUGGAUACAAGUAAGAUCUACACUGAUGAUUAAAUCAAAUUGGCUAAGAUUAUUCGUUCUAAUAAAAGCACUGACUCCAUGAAGUUUUCUUGUGGCUGAAAUUAACAUUCGUGUUCCUACAAGCUCUUUAAAAUCUUAGUUACUGAAAAUUAUUCCUUUUGACCUAAUUUUUUCUUUACUUUGGAUGUAUUUGACAAGGUAGAGGUUAGGGAUUGGAGAGUAUGUAAAGAAUGAAAUAAAAUGUAGUCACUUUUAACUAUAUCCACAUA
rnacentral:lncRNA from 1 species